AACGAACGCUGGCGGUAUGCCUAAUACAUGCAAGUCGAACGAGAAAGUUCCUUCGGGAGCGAGUACAGUGGCGCACGGGUGAGUAACGCGUAGGUGACCUACCCAUUAGUGGGGGAUAACAUCGGGAAACCGGUGCUAAUACCGCAUGUGAUGGAUGAAAUUGAAAAAGUUCAUCAAAGAUGGCCUCUCCUUGGAAGCCGUCGCUAGUGGAAGGGCCUGCGUAGCAUUAGCUUGUUGGCGGGGUAAUGGCCUACCAAGGCGAUGAUGUUUAACUGGUCUGAGAGGAUGAUCAGUCACACUGGAACUGAGACACGGUCCAG
rnacentral:rRNA from 1 species